AUACGUAUGGGGCGAGCGUUGUUCGGAAUUAUUGGGCGUAAAGGGCGUGUAGGCGGCUUAUCAAGCCUGGUGUUAAAAUGCACAGCUUAACUGUGCAGGUGCGCUGGGAACUGGUGAGCUUGAGUCUAGGAGGGGAAGCUGGAAUUCCUGGUGUAGGGGUGAAAUCUGUAGAUAUCAGGAAGAACACCGGUGGCGAAGGCGAGCUUCUAGCCAUAGACUGACGCUGAGGCGCGAAAGCGUGGGGAGCGAACAGGAUUAGAAACCCUAGUAGUCC
rnacentral:rRNA from 1 species